UGUUAAUACAUUUCUGAAUUUACAAUGCAAAAAGAACUAUUACUUUGUAAUGAAAUUUCUUUACAAUCACAUGACUUAUUUAUACUUGAAUGACUUGCCAUAUGACUGUCAAUAUUAAACCCAGAAAUGCAUUGAACAGGAUUUCAUGAGAUUAUUCAGAGUGCACUAGCGAGAUACAAAAACCAAACCAACACUUCUGUAACUUUCAUCCUAAAAAUAAGUCUCAAGAGAAUCAAAAUAAUUACCAGUCAUGAAUGUAGCCUCAUAAUUUUCAACCAUUAGGCCUACUAGUUUAAUAUGCAUGGUAUCUUGGGUCUUUCUAUUUUCGUGAAGGUGUGUGGGCUACAUUGUACAACAUCUACAUACA